CGGGCUCUCCCCCGCCCCCCGCCCCCCAAUAUAUAAACGUAUAGAUAGCUCUGGUCUCUACCCUAGAGGGAGCAUCCCCCCGCCCGGACUUUUCAGCACCCUGCUUCUUACGGUACAGGUGCACAGCACCCUGGGGGCCUGUGGGGAAGAGGAGGAAAGAGUAAGGGUGGUGUCCGAGCCCCCGGACUUCAGUACCAGGACUAAGGCGGGUCCGCAGGGUCUCUGGCUACCUGGUCGCGCUGGGCUCCUUUGGACACUUUGGCGAUUGAGAUGGUCUCCCCCCGAAUCCCGCUAAUGAAGGCUCUGGGAACUCUGUAUGCUGCGGAGAGAGAAAAAGCCAGAGGGGGUCUUGGAGGUCACAGGAAGAGCAUAGUGAGGGCUCAGUAAAUCCCUGCUAAAAUGAAGCGUGAGCUGGAAGAAGGGUCCCCACCAGUGUCUUCCUGUCCCUGCUGUCCCUCCCAAGUUUCUCUCCCUCCUGCCUAGUUGCGGGGGAGCCCGCCUGUGGAUCCUUCACACCAACACGCAAAUGCUAAUCUCUCUCUCCUCUUCAGCACUCUCGUGCUCACUUCCAACACCGGCUACUUCUUGCCAUGUCCCUCCUCCCCUUCCAGCGAACUACUUGGAAAAAAGCUGCUGGACCCCUCCUCUCUGCGUCCCCUCUUUGCCUACGCACGUUCAUAGGAAACCGUUUGAAAGUGCACAGUUCGGCGACACCAAUUACAUCCACAGUGCGGUACAACCACCACCUCCACUUAGCUCCAGAACAUUUCAUCACCCCAAAAGGAGACCCCUGUUCCCAAUAAGUCAUCCCUCCCCAUUCCUCCCAUUCCUCCCAGCUCCUAGCAACCACCCUUCCGCUUGGAUUUAUUUGCCUGGUCUGCAAGUUUCCCACAAAUGGAAUCACACACGAUGAGGCCUUCUGCAUCUGGUUCCUUUCACUGAGCAUCGUGUUUUCAAGGGUUGCGGCAAGUGAUCCCCUGCCUUCUGUGCUCCUGUCGGCCUGCCCCAUUCGGGUCUUUGUUCCCACCAUGCAACAAAUAAUAAAAUCCUUGCUGGUAAGCCCA